GAAGGAGAAAACAGCUUUCAUAUUAUACAGAUCAUAAAUUGUAUAAAUCACCACGCUUCUCUGAUUACAUAAAUCCAGCUGAAACCCUUGCAAAAUGGAGGGCGAGCAAACAUCCAGCUCAGAGGAAAUUUGUUGCAUAACUCCCGCUAAAGGUAAGAUAAAUUAGAACGUAAGGUAAGCGAUCAUUGACAAGGUGUUGAUUAUCAAAAACAAAGAAGUGAAUCAAGUGAUGCAUCAGUCGCUUGACAGCACGACAGAGUCCAAAGGUUCUUCCCUGCAAACUAAACUUGGAAGUGAAAAUUGAUCGAAAAAGGUAGACAUGGCAAAGGCCAA
rnacentral:lncRNA from 1 species